rnacentral:lncRNA from 1 species
CAAAGUGCUGGCAUUACAGGUGUGAGCCACUGUGCCUAGCCUGAAAAUUUAUUUUUAAAAAUUGAGACAGGGUCUCACUCUGUUGCCCAGGCUGAAGUGCAGUGGCACAAUCAUGGCUCACUGCACCGUCAAACUCCUGGGCUGAAGUGAUCCUUCUGUGUCAGGCUCAUACACCUUAUAAUUUAGAUACAAUGAUAAAGAAGAGGAAAUUCAGUUAGUGAGAGAUUAAGGAAUUUGCCCAAGGUCCUAUAACUAGUAAAAGGCAAAACCUUGAAAUUUGAACCUGGCCAGACUCCAGAGCCAGUGCUUUAAAUUAAGCAGCUGUGCAUCCUGUAGUAGGUGGAUGUGACAUGUGCCUUGAAAGCACAGGAAGAGCUAUAUACCUGUCCAGGGGGUUGCUGAAGGCCUGUGAACUUUGCA